AGGUAGAGCUACUGGAUGGUCUAAGGGGCCUACAAGCUUACUGAAAUCAGCCAAACUCCGAAUGCCGGUAAGUGAGAGCGCGGCAGUGAGACUGCGGGGGAUAAGCUUCGUAGUCGAGAGGGAAACAGCCCAGAUCACCGGCUAAGGCCCCCAAGCGUAUGCUAAGUGGAAAAGGAUGUGGAGUCGCACAGACAACCAGGAGGUUGGCUUAGAAGCAGCCAUCCUUGAAAGAGUGCGUAAUAGCUCACUGGUCAAGUGAUUCCGCGCCGUCAAUGUAGCGGGGCUCAAGCAUACCGCCGAAGCCGUGACAUUCACACUGAUAGCCAGGCACCUAGUGUCCAGGCGUGUGGAUGGGUAGGGGAGCGUCGUGUGGCGAGUGAAGCGGCGGGGUGACCCAGUCGUGGACGCCACACGAGUGAGAAUGCAGGCAUGAGUAGCGAAAGACGGGUGAGAAACCCGUCCGCCGAAUGACCAAGGGUUCCAGGGCCAGGCUAAUCCGCCCUGGGUAAGUCGGGACCUAAGGCGAGGCCGACAGGCGUAGUCGAUGGACAACGGGUUGAUAUUCCCGUACCCGCAAUAGCACGCCCAUGCUGAACCCAGUAAUGCUAAGUGCCUGAAGCCGGCGUUGGUCUUCGGACCGACGUUGGUGGAGCGCGCGACCCGAGCUGGUAGUAGGCAAGCGAUGGGGUGACGCAGGAAGGUAGUCCAACCGCGGCGAUGGUAGACCGCGGGUAAGGGUGUAGGGCGACAGAUAGGCAAAUCCGUCUGUCAUCAAGCCUGAGACCUGAUACCGAGCCGAUCUAGGCGAAGUGGAUGAUCCUAUGCUGCCAAGAAAAGCCUCUAGCGAGUGCUACAGCGGCCCGUACCCCAAACCGACUCAGGUGGUCAGGUAGAGAAUACCAAGGCGAUCGAGUGAACUAUGGUUAAGGAACUCGGCAAAAUGCCCCCGUAACUUCGGGAGAAGGGGGGCCGCGGUCGGUGUAGGAGCUUGCCUCCGAAGCCGGCUUCGGCCGCAGAGACCAGUGGGAAGCGACUGUUUACUAAAAACACAGGUCCGUGCGAAGUCGCAAGACGAUGUAUACGGACUGACGCCUGCCCGGUGCUGGAACGUUAAGGGGACCGGUUAGGCCUUCGGGGCG
rnacentral:rRNA from 1 species